ACGAACGCUGGCGGCGUGCCUAACACAUGCAAGUCGAACGGAACCAGCAAUGGUUCAGUGGCGGACGGGUGCGUAACACGUGAGGAACAUGUCUUUCGGUGGGGGAUAGCCGGCCCAACGGCCGGGUAAUACCGCAUACGCUGCUCGGAGCUCCUGCUCUGAGUCGGAAAGCAGCAAUGCGCCGAUCGAGUGCCUCGCGGCCUAUCAGCUAGUUGGUGAGGUAAUGGCUCACCAAGGCGACGACGGGUAGCUGGUCUGAGAGGAUGGCCAGCCACAUUGGGACUGAGACACGGCCCAGACUCCUACGGGAGGCAGCAGUGGGGAAUAUUGCGCAAUGGGCGAAAGCCUGACGCAGCGACGCCGCGUGUGGGAUGACGGCCUUCGGGUUGUAAACCACUGUCGGGAGGGACGAAGAUCUGACGGUACCUCCAAAGGAAGCACCGGCUAACUCUGU
rnacentral:rRNA from 1 species